rnacentral:rRNA from 1 species
UUUGGUUAAGUUAGAAAGGGCGCACGGUGGAUGCCUUGACACUAGGAGUCGAUGAAGGACGGGACUAACGCCGAUAUGCUUCGGGGAGCUGUAAGUAAGCUUUGAUCCGAAGAUUUCCGAAUGGGGAAACCCACCAUACGUAAUGGUAUGGUAUCCUUAUCUGAAUACAUAGGGUAAGGAAGACAGACCCAGGGAACUGAAACAUCUAAGUACCUGGAGGAAGAGAAAGCAAAUGCGAUUUCCUGAGUAGCGGCGAGCGAAACGGAACAUAGCCCAAACCAAGAGGCUUGCCUCUUGGGGUUGUAGGACAUUCUAUACGGAGUUACAAAGGAACGAGGUAGACGAAGCGACCUGGAAAGGUCCGUCGUAGAGGGUAACAACCCCGUAGUCGAAACUUCGUUCUCUCUUGAAUGUAUCCUGAGUACGGCGGAACACGUGAAAUUCCGUCGGAAUCUGGGAGGACCAUCUCCCAAGGCUAAAUACUCCCUAGUGAUCGAUAGUGAACCAGUACCGUGAGGGAAAGGUGAAAAGCACCCCGGAAGGGGAGUGAAAGAGAUCCUGAAACCGUGUGCCUACAAAUAGUCAGAGCCCGUUAACGGGUGAUGGCGUGCCUUUUGUAGAAUGAACCGGCGAGUUACGAUCCCGUGCGAGGUUAAGCUGAAGAGGCGGAGCCGCAGCGAAAGCGAGUCUGAAUAGGGCGUUUAGUACGUGGUCGUAGACCCGAAACCAGGUGAUCUACCCAUGUCCAGGGUGAAGUUCAGGUAACACUGAAUGGAGGCCCGAACCCACGCACGUUGAAAAGUGCGGGGAUGAGGUGUGGGUAGCGGAGAAAUUCCAAUCGAACCUGGAGAUAGCUGGUUCUCCCCGAAAUAGCUUUAGGGCUAGCCUUAAGUGUAAGAGUCUUGGAGGUAGAGCACUGAUUGGACUAGGGGUCCUCAUCGGAUUACCGAAUUCAGUCAAACUCCGAAUGCCAAUGACUUAUCCUUAGGAGUCAGACUGCGAGUGAUAAGAUCCGUAGUCAAAAGGGAAACAGCCCAGACCGCCAGCUAAGGUCCCAAAGUGUGUAUUAAGUGGAAAAGGAUGUGGAGUUGCUUAGACAACUAGGAUGUUGGCUUAGAAGCAGCCACCAUUUAAAGAGUGCGUAAUAGCUCACUAGUCGAGUGACUCUGCGCCGAAAAUGUACCGGGGCUAAAUACACCACCGAAGCUGCGGAUUGAUACCGAAUGGUAUCAGUGGUAGGGGAGCGUUCUAAGGACAGUGAAGUCAGACCGUAAGGACUGGUGGAGUGCUUAGAAGUGAGAAUGCCGGUAUGAGUAGCGAAAGACGGGUGAGAAUCCCGUCCACCGAAUGCCUAAGGUUUCCUGAGGAAGGCUCGUCCGCUCAGGGUUAGUCAGGACCUAAGCCGAGGCCGACAGGCGUAGGCGAUGGACAACAGGUUGAUAUUCCUGUACCACCUCUUUAUCGUUUGAGCAAUGGAGGGACGCAGAAGGAUAGAAGAAGCGUGCGAUUGGUUGUGCACGUCCAAGCAGUUAGGCUGAUAAGUAGGCAAAUCCGCUUAUCGUGAAGGCUGAGCUGUGAUGGGGAAGCUCCUUAUGGAGCGAAGUCUUUGAUUCCCCGCUGCCAAGAAAAGCUUCUAGCGAGAUAAAAGGUGCCUGUACCGCAAACCGACACAGGUAGGCGAGGAGAGAAUCCUAAGGUGUGCGAGAGAACUCUGGUUAAGGAACUCGGCAAAAUGACCCCGUAACUUCGGGAGAAGGGGUGCUUUCUUAACGGAAAGCCGCAGUGAAUAGGCCCAAGCGACUGUUUAGCAAAAACACAGCUCUCUGCGAAGCCGUAAGGCGAAGUAUAGGGGGUGACACCUGCCCGGUGCUGGAAGGUUAAGGAGAGGGGUUAGCGUAAGCGAAGCUCUGAACUGAAGCCCCAGUAAACGGCGGCCGUAACUAUAACGGUCCUAAGGUAGCGAAAUUCCUUGUCGGGUAAGUUCCGACCCGCACGAAAGGUGUAACGAUUUGGGCACUGUCUCAACCAGAGACUCGGUGAAAUUAUAGUACCUGUGAAGAUGCAGGUUACCCGCGACAGGACGGAAAGACCCCGUGGAGCUUUACUGUAGCCUGAUAUUGAAUUUUGGUACAGUUUGUACAGGAUAGGCGGGAGCCAUUGAAACCGGAGCGCUAGCUUCGGUGGAGGCGCUGGUGGGAUACCGCCCUGACUGUAUUGAAAUUCUAACCUACGGGUCUUAUCGACCCGGGAGACAGUGUCAGGUGGGCAGUUUGACUGGGGCGGUCGCCUCCUAAAGUGUAACGGAGGCGCCCAAAGGUUCCCUCAGAAUGGUUGGAAAUCAUUCGUAGAGUGCAAAGGCAUAAGGGAGCUUGACUGCGAGACCUACAAGUCGAGCAGGGACGAAAGUCGGGCUUAGUGAUCCGGUGGUUCCGCAUGGAAGGGCCAUCGCUCAACGGAUAAAAGCUACCCCGGGGAUAACAGGCUUAUCUCCCCCAAGAGUCCACAUCGACGGGGAGGUUUGGCACCUCGAUGUCGGCUCAUCGCAUCCUGGGGCUGUAGUCGGUCCCAAGGGUUGGGCUGUUCGCCCAUUAAAGCGGUACGCGAGCUGGGUUCAGAACGUCGUGAGACAGUUCGGUCCCUAUCCGUCGUGGGCGUAGGAAAUUUGAGAGGAGCUGUCCUUAGUACGAGAGGACCGGGAUGGACGCACCGCUGGUGUACCAGUUGUUCUGCCAAGGGCAUAGCUGGGUAGCUAUGUGCGGAAGGGAUAAGUGCUGAAAGCAUCUAAGCAUGAAGCCCCCCUCAAGAUGAGAUUUCCCAUAGCGUAAGCUAGUAAGAUCCCUGAAAGAUGAUCAGGUUGAUAGGUUCGAGGUGGAAGCAUGGUGACAUGUGUAGCUGACGAAUACUAAUAGAUCGAGGACUUAACCAUAUAA